GGCCUGGUGGUGAAGGGGUAACACGGGGAUCUGCAAAAUCUCUAUGCGCGGGUUCGAGUCCCGCCCAGGCCU
rfam:Candidatus Kaiserbacteria bacterium RIFCSPLOWO2_01_FTLL_54_24 rifcsplowo2_01_scaffold_20449, whole genome shotgun sequence.